rnacentral:misc_RNA from 1 species
UUGUGGAGGACAUGAAGGUACAUUUAUUACUACAUUAAUUUUGUUGUCUAGCUAGCUAAUCAAAUUGUGUAAAAAUAUAUUAAAAUUAAACAUAAAUCUUUUCUUGGAUAAAAUCUCAAAUAAUGUCAAUUUCCAAGUUAGCCCAUUUUAAAGGUGAACCAGUGAGCCAGUUGGGCUAAGUCCUAACUUUUUGCAAAUCAUAUGGAUCUCCAAAACCUAUGAACAUGCUUGAAUUAAAAAGAAAAAAAAAUAUUUAUUUAUUAAAUGUGUUCCUCUCCUCCUAAAUCUAGGUAUUUGAAAGGGAAAGAUUAA